GGUGCUUGCAUCAUGAUUUACAUUUGAGUGAGUGGCGAACUGGUGAGUAACACGUGGGAAACCUGCCCAGAAGCGGGGGGAUAACACCUGGAAACAGAUGCUAAUACCGCAUAACAACUUGGACCGCAUGGUCCGAGUUCGAAAGAUGGCUUCGGCUAUCACUUUUGGAUGGUCCCGCGGCGUAUUAGCUAGAUGGUGGGGUAACGGCUCACCAUGGCAAUGAUACGUAGCCGACCUGAGAGGGUAAUCGGCCACAUUGGGACUGAGACACGGCCCAAACUCCUACGGGAGGCAGCAGUAGGGAAUCUUCCACAAUGGACGAAAGUCUGAUGGAGCAACGCCGCGUGAGUGAAGAAGGGUUUCGGCUCGUAAAACUCUGUUAUUAGGGAAGAACAAAUGUGUAAGUAACUGUGCACGUCUUGACGGUACCUAAUCAGAAAGCCACGGCUAACUACGUGC
rnacentral:rRNA from 1 species